UUUAGUCGUAAAGACAACUGCGCCCUAGCGUAAGCUAUGGUGAGGAAAGUCCGAACACUGCCUUGUAGCAAUAUAAGGAGUUAGUAGUGGGUAACACCCAUCUGGGUAAUCCAAGAGGUGCGAACAGUGACGCUCGAGCCGAAAGGCAGAAGCUCCGCCGGAAGGUGGAUGAAUCUCAUGGCAACAUGAGGGUGCAACGGCAAAAUCCUUACUUCAGUGCAAGACCGUGUCUGUCGCAAGACAGAAGAGUCGCUUGACCGUAUGAGCAAUUGCACGGCUAGAUAAAUGGUUGUCAGGACUCGCUUUCGCGAAAGCUAUGGCGGGUACUACAGAAUUCGGCUUAUAUACGACAAAAUGAU
rnacentral:RNase_P_RNA from 1 species